CCCUCGGCCCGCUCCAGCCCGGCCGGGGCGCUAGGGAGGGGGGUGCUGGUCCGGGGACGCGGUGGCUUCGAGUGUGGCAAAGUCCUUGCACAGAGAGGCUACUCGUAGACUUCAGAAAGCUGCUGGCGGGGAAUAUCUUACGGGGUUGGCGGGGGAGACCGUCAGACCCCAAGGGUGCUGGCGGUCCUCGCUGGCGGGGCUCUGCCAUCCGAGGAGUAGCGGGUACUCGGGACAAGCCCCGCGGUCCCCACUCGCGACGGAGGCAGCGAGGACCGCCCUGCGGCGAGCGCAGCUCCUCGGCAGCCAUUCCCUCUUCCCCCACGCAACGAGUGGGAUGGGGUGCGGGCUACCGCGCCGCUGGGCUUGACCUCACGCCUCUCAGCCUCGGUCCCUUGGCUGUGCGAGCCGCAGCUCAAUGGCCGUGCUGAGGGAGGUCUCCCAGCAGACGGCAAAACCUACUGACGGCUACCGCGGCUCCCCGCCACCGUUUAAGGAGCCGGGCCGUGCCGCGGAGCCGGAAAAGCGGCAGCGGGGGUAGCGUGCGUGGGGCCGGGGACAGCCAGGGGAGCGCGGCGGCGACGACGACGACCACCACCACCACCUCCGCGCCUUGGAAAGAGUAGGGGCUACCUCAGGCGGGGGAGCGCCCUUCAGGAGUCGUGCCAGAGGGAUGUCUGUCAGCCAGUCCAACGGUAAAGAUUAAUACUCCCAAACAGUCAUCGGAGGUUUCCUCGCUCAUUAAUAAGUGAUCACACUUAAUAACGAUCAAACGUUUGCCUGGGGAAUCCCGACCCAGCGGGCCAACGGCGAAGCCGGGCUGCGGGCAGGAGAAGCCGGCGGGGGCGCAUUUACCGCGCAUUAGGCUCGCCACGUAUUUUAUUAGCCACAUAAAUAAAUAAAGCCAGCUGCGCAGGGGGCCCUUCUGCAACCAAAGCCCGGGGCUGCACAUCAGACGAAACCGACCCCUUCAGAAAGGGCUGGCUUCCAGGUUCACCAGCCCGCAGCCAGGAGGCUCCGCCGCGCAGCGCCCCCGCAGCGCCCGCGCCCUUUCCCGGGGCCGCAGUUCCGCGGUGGCCGGGCAGGGGGCGCCGCGCCACAGCGCACGGGCAGCCGUGGACGACGCCGGCAGCCAGCCCGGCCGGCUCGGCCAAGCAGAGCCGGUAUCCCGCCGCGCCAAGCCCGGCUCCGGCAGCAGGGAGUUGGGUCGGGAAAUCUGCGUGCCAUUCUUUCCGUGAAGGUGCCGGUGUAGGUGGAGUUGCCCUCGGCCCCAGGUACGCAUAGCUAUGGAUAAAGUCGGUGUGCAUAUAGAUAUUGAUAUAUAGAGAAGCAUACAUACAGUACACACUUAAAAACUACGGGUUGAAGGGAAAACCUGAAUAUUUUCAAUAACGCAGCAAACUAGAGCACCAAACUCUCAUGGGUAUCAUCUCUUUAAGCACCCUGCUGAUAAUAAACUUACUGAACAAAGAACUCACCAGGCCAGCUGGACUCGGCGCUUUUCUUUCAAAGUCCGCUCCAGCUCAGUUCAUCUCCGCACCCUUCCGCCACCCCUUCCUUUUUAGUCCUUUUGAGAAGAAGCGAGAAAUGACCCGGUGACCACGCAGCUCUAGAGCCUGAACUCUGCCGCGGCCCCGGAGCUCAACGCGGCCCCGGCGCGCAGCAAGCGCGGUGCCCGUCUCCAUCGCCACAGCGCGGCAUGUCGGCUUCGACCCAUCCGCUGUUUUAAACUUGAACGAGGGUGGGAAGGAAAAAUAGACGGGGAGAGGGGAGAUUAAAAAAAAAAAAAAACAAAAAAGAGAAAGAAAGAAAGAAAAAAUAAUAAAAAGCCGAAAAGAAAGGUGAGAUCCAACUUUCUUAAGACAUGUCCAGGCAAAGAACGGGGCAGACUUGAGGAGUUGCAGCAGCGGAGUGAGAGUGGGGAAGCUGCGCCGGAUCGCCGAUUCUUUCCCUCCCUCCUCCCUCCUUCCUUUCUUCCCCCGCCUCCCUCUUUCCCUCCCUUUCUCCCUCCCUCUCCCUCUGUCUUCUUUCGCACUCAGUCCGUCCUCCCCGGACCUGCUCCCGGCACCACCACUGCCUGCCUCUCCUCACCAGUGCAGAGGAACGCGGAGGCGGUGGCAGCAGCGCGCACUUCUCCGCGCCUGCACAGCUCCGCGCGGGGCCGCUGUCGCGCACCUGGACCGCGACCGUCCGCCAGCAGUUUUUCCCACAGAAGGGCGUAUUCAGAUUCCUAAAGAAAGCUUUGAAAGGGAUCCAAAGAGGCAAUCACAUGCAUGUGCAACUAUUUUUUCACCAGGCAAGAAUAUAUGGAAUGUGAAUGGAGUUUCAGCAGAGCUCUGCAAAUGGCUAUGUAUGUGCCACAUCACACCAAUGGAGCUACGCUACUUCUGGUUUAGAAGCUAAUGUAAUUGGAACUGACUAGAUAUCUCCAAGCAAUACAGUAUGGAGAACUGUAGACACCAUGUACAGUUGUAACCUUUCCCCAGUGGCUGAGUGUCAUUAAAACCUGGUUAAAAGCCAGCUGCAUGCUUUUUAACAAAGAUUCUUUGAUUUUCAGUCCAAAUUCAUUCUAGUCAUUGUGCCUAUCCACAAACUAUUACAUUAUCAUAGGUGAAGGAAGAGUGAUGGGUGAUGUAGGUUUGUGAUUGUCUAACUUCAUCACUGAAUAAAAAAAUGUACCCUCUACAGAACUCCUGAAUUCACUGUUUUCCUCAGUGUUCCAAAUAAUCCUAUCCAUUUUUACUAGAACAGUUGAACUUCUGUGUUGCCCAAUUUAAUAUUAACAAAGUGAAAUGGCAGCUGAAAUGAGUUCACUGCCCAAAGGACAAGGCAUAAACACAGACCUUCUGAGAAUCAAAUGCAAGACCAUUACCCGAAUUGAUUGAAGGGGAACAUUUGAAUCCCACAAAUGAUCAAUAUUAUAAUGUCAUAGUUGCAAUUCAUGUCUACUCCUCUGUCACAAUGGAGAAGAUGUUUUUCCCUAGUGAAACAGCUUAAAAAAAAAAUAAAAUUCUCCUCUUUUCCCUUAUAUAGCUUAGGGUUUGAGCACUUUUCCAGAACAGCGAGGGUUUACCCUUCAGUGAGAAAGGCCUUGAGUGAAGAACUCCAAGCUACUAUAUAAGCACUUUGGCUCAUGUGCUAGCAAAACCAGUGUUACUUGAGGGUUUCUAUGAAUCCUGAUUUUGUAUACCUGUGACAGGGUGUGUUGGAGCAAGCCAAUAGACUGAGCAUCUGAAGGUAGAAGGUGCCUAGAAAUGGAUCCAUGUUGGGUUUAAUGACUAUUAAGUGGGUAGCUAUGAAGCAUCGGGAACAGAGCUCUUCUGUGUACUGAGAAACAGAACUUCAGGUGUUUGGCAACUAUGAGCAUUCAAACUUCUGUGCCUGUGGAGCUUAAACACUUUUGGCCUAGGCAGACCUGAGCAGGAAUCACAGCUGUAUUUCUGGAGAUGCCUUGUCUUUCUUUUUUUGAGUGAGCUGCCAUGCAUUUAAUGAGCAACUUAUCCACCUGGCUCAAAGCUCUGGUUUCCAAUACACAAACAAGCACCUAAGAAUGAAAAAUUACCUAAAUAAGAUUGAGUUUCCUGUACAAAGCCAGCAUCGAUUGUAUUGAUUUCAAUGAGAAUGGGACAAUUAAUUUAGGAAUUUUUCAAAAUGUAACCUACUUAAUGAAAAUUGUAAAACUUUAGAUUAGUCUUUAGAGGUAUUCUAGUAAUUUUAAAGACCAGAAUCACAAUUUUGCCUUAGGAAUGUGCUCUUUAGAAAUACUGUUUAUGCUUGAUUUCUGCUUUUGUCCAAUAUCAAGUGCAAUUAAAACUGGAUGACUUCUUUGUUCCUGCACAAUAUUUGGAUUUGUGCACGCACUGUUUAUACAUAUGGCUAUUAGUCAUAAUCUGUAAAAUCACAUGUAUUUGUAUACUUGUUCAUUUUGUUUGCAAAAAUGACUGUUUCUACCACAUCACACUGUAUUACAUGGCUUUUAAAAAUGUCUCUUUGAAAUUUAGCCCUGAUUGUUCUUAAGACCUAAGAAGGGAUUAAACUUCAUAUAUCAGCUUCUUUAUCUUUAAAGCUUAUUAACAUCUAAUCAAGAUUAGAUAUGUGGUCAGACUUCUGAGGCAGGUGUGUCAGCAAACAACAACAUGUAGAAUACAGUGCAAAGUGUUCUAUAUUUGUUCAUCCUAAUGAAAGUGUCAGAAAGGCUAUGACUGCUGCAAAGUAAAAUCUUGAUGUAAACCCCAAAGGAGGUUCUUUCCAUGAUUCUGUCAUUGAUUCAGUGUUUCCAUUUUUUCUUUUUUUUCUUCAGGAGGUCGAUUUAUCAAAUAGAGGAGGAUAACAGUUUUGUUUGAAGUAUUAUGAUUUACUUGAAACAGGAGUGAUUAUUAUACAACAUUUGAAAAUAACUAUAUGUUUCUGAUUUGUCUUCAACCACAGAAUAAUUUAUUAACCUGUUGAUACAAAGUAAACCCCAGCAGAAUUGUAAUAGUCAAACAUCUAAUAUUUAUCAAAAUACCUCUCUGACCUAGAGAAGGGGCUGUAAAACGUUUAAAAUUAAUGGAAUUUAAUGUUUUAAAAAAAUGUCUUUAACUUCCUGCUAUAGAAACAUACUGUAAAUUGUAUAUACAAUUCAAAAAUUGUCUCUACCUUUGGUGUAAAAGUUCCCGAACUAGGUUUUCCUCCAUUAAAUCAGAGGGGUUUAUUUCAUGUACUGAUGUCAGGAGGUGCAAGAACAAAUUCUCACUUCACUACUACUCCACUCCUCAAACAUAUUUUUUCAUAACCAUGUAGUCUAAACUUUAAAAAUAAAACUUUCCUACAAAUUGUGGUAGUAUAUAAUUCUCUUUCCUACCAGAAUCCAUACAUUCCCAUUGACAAGGGUUUACCGCAAAGCCUCUCUUAAAUGACUGUCAUCUGGAAAGAAUGCAUGCAUAAACAUGGCAUUCUUCUCUGGGAGCUUUCUUUAUAGACUAUAAUGUCCUUAACCAAAAAUAACAUCUGUCUGGCCUUCCUUUCUCUCUCUCUCCAUUUUUUUUUUUUCUGUUUUGUUUUGUUUUUGUUUUUGUUUUUUUGUUUUUUAAUUCUUUAAUUUCUUUAAGAACUAUGUGUAUUGACAAUGUUGAAAUGCUGGCUUUAAAAGGAAAGGUCUUUAUCUCCUAAUCUGCUAGGCAGGCAUUAAAAUAAAGGAAAUGUUCAUUGGUGUUCCCAUUUUUCAAGACAACUACUUCUGUUAUCAGGAGAAAUCUGAAAUGUAAAAUUUUAUGUUAUUAUUGAUCCAAGACUUCUCUUAAAAUAAUUUUAAACAUACUGAAGAUAGCUAAAAUUGUUUCUUGAUUCCUCUUCUAUACACAUCAUAUUACCUACAUGUGUAAAAUAAUUGGAGAAAGGUCAAAAUCCAUCACAUUUACUUGCACUUUUUGUGCAAAACACAAGUGUGGUAGUUCUGCAGAGUGUUAGCAUUUUUAGCUACUAUUACACUGUUACCAAGGGUUAGUCACAUAAUAUAUAUGAAACAUAUUAUAUGGUUGUCUACUACCAAUCUAUAUUUUAUCAGAUACAAAUUUCUCCAAGACAGAUGAGUACGCUACAUAAAGAGUAACUAUAAAUGACUUGUUGAGUAAAACCUCAUCUUAAUGUAACAUCAAGAUGGCAUUUGACAGUAACUCAUUUAGAAUCAGCCUUACAGUUUCAUAAUUUAUCAUCAGCUCCUUUGAAAUUUUUCCAGAUUGUAGGAGGGAAGACAGCAAAACUCAGCUGGACUUUGGGUCAGCAAUUGUGGCAUACAAAUGUCUUAGUUUUAAAAAGAUGCUCUAUAAAAGAUUUCCCAUACACUUAUUUAUAACUCAAGACAUGGCAAUUUAGCUUCCACCAAGGAAGAAUGAAAGGCAAUUUUACCUGAAAUACCCAGAAUCUGAUAUAACAGGCACUAUUAUGUAGUGCCUGUUCCUCUGUCCUUCAGUAUAAUAUAGUGCCUCUCUAUCCUUCAACACUCAUCUCUAAGAAAUCUUAAGAGGGCUCUGAAAUGAAGCAAUGAUCAGAUAUUGAUUAAAGAAAUAGAGAUGCUAUUUUAAGAUACUAGCAGUGUUUCUGGUCUUUGUUAUUGCCAGUCUGCUGGAAAGCUGAAAGCCUCACAUAAUCAUCUUCCAUGCAAAGACAGCCAAGUUAGUUUAAAUACUGUUCUCCAUGUAGGAUUAACUGACUGGACUGACUUUGAAAAGAACUAGAAGAGCAACUGAAAUUGUUACAGAUUGAGAAUUUCUGAUGUCUUUUUCUUUUUUCUAUUCAAGUCGUUCUAUUAUUUAAGGGACUCCAGCCAUUUUUCAACCUGAAUAACAAGCACAUGGAUAUUUAAUGAAAUUAUAGAUAACGAUUUCUUUAAUUGAAAUAGCGUGAACAAUGAUUUACAAGACCAAAGUAGAGCAUAGAAGAGCUUAGAACAGUAAAUGUAAAGCAAUUUCUUUAAUAAUAUUUGCAUUUUAAUUGAUCUAAUUAAUACUCUGUUCUGUUUAAUUUCACUAUUGAGAUCCAGUGAGCAUCAAAGUAUUCUUUAAAUUAUCCAUAUUCAUACUUCAGGAACUGCAAUACAUUGAAUGACAUAGAUGAUAAUUCCCUUCUGAAAAUUGUGGAGAAGUGAAGCAAGAAAUAAUAGCAAGCACCUAGCAUAAUGUCAAAUCAAAUCAUUAAGAGAAAACAAUCCUCAAAGCAUAUAUCUCUUUUCACACACUUUUUGUCAACCAGAGAGACUAUUUUAGCCACUCUUUGAAGUUACCUGGAGUCCAUUUUGUAUGACACUUACAACUACAUGGUAGCUGAGUUAUUUGGAACAAGAGCAGUAAGCCUCAAAUCGAAGGAUUCCAAAUGCAAUAUAAAAAUCAUAUACUACAUCAUCCUGUUUUGUUUUGUUUAAAAACUAGAGUGUAAGCAUUUAGUGGGCUUUCUUUUUUUCUAAGAGGCAUUUAUGAUGGAGAAAUGUCUUAGCAUUGAUGGGCUGUAAUUUAUAAAACUGAGUGCCAAAAUAUAUCCUAAAAUAUCACAGUAUAGAAUGUUUCCUAUAUUGUCAUCAGCUUCUGAUUUAUCAUUAUUUGAAAUCUGUGCUUUCCCCAUAAUUUUCCCAAUGAACCAGAGAAAUACAAUAAUGAUCAGUAUUUAAAUUCAACUGCCCUGAUCAGCAACAUGUUGCAGAAUGGAGCAUUUAGUUUAACAAAGUUCUGGAAUAGAACUAGUUAGUGAUUAAUUUCACUUUCAGGAAUCUUGAUUAAAAUUUCUUAAGACAUAUACAUGGAAGCCAAACAGUUUCCACUGAACAAUUAUUUUGCUUUGGUUGUUGGUUUGUUGGACAGGGCUGAAGGGGGUUUAUAAAUGUAGAACCAGACUACUGUGUUUUUUCUACAGGUGCUGUUUAUUACAGAACCACAGAAAAUGUUCAUGAAUAUGAGGAACCCAGUAAAUAUGAUAUAUACACAGUAAGCAUGAUAUGCAAGCUUUCUUCAUGUGAACAAAUAAAACCCACAAGACUGCCCACACAUGCAAUCUGCAGCCUCAAAAGGGUGAAAAUGAAUUAACCACACACUUCCACCCAUUUGUUUAACUUACUGGACAUUUGUUCACUAAUUUUAGAAAGUAGAAUGAGAUGCCUCAUUAUUACUAGCUAGAAAAUUGAGAGAAUUUUUAGCUAUUAAAAUAGUCUCUAUCAUAACCUCUUUUACACAGUGAUAUUUAGCAGUGCAAAAUAUGAUUUCAUCCCUUUAUCACGGAUGUAUUUCUAACUUUUAGGUAUAUUGCAUUUGCAUUUUAUCUUCAAACUCUAUAAAAUGAAAAAUUGUUCAAGCAGAUUUUUUAAAUGUUUAUAGUUUUUAGCAGAUAAUAGUAGAUAAUAAGAGGACAUCCUUUGAAGAGGUUAACAGUAAAAAUGAAUAUAUUUUGCUGCUUUUUUUUUUUUUACAAGUAUGGAAAUAAUUCUGAAUGACCCUAUUGCAUACUCUCAUACUUUAUCAGAAUUAUACCCCAUGUAUCAAUAAGUAAUGUGACAAGGGAACUUCUUUAUGCUUGAUAUAAAUCAAUGAUUGCUGCCUUAGUUUAAAAGCUGAGUGAUGAUUAGAUGCUGUGACUCAAUAAAUUUGAGCUUCUAAUAUUAUGCAGAAGAACAUAAAAGCUGUUUGUGCAUUAUAAUGUAGUAAUAACGUAUCCCUUCCUAAUCACUGGCAUACCUAUCUUUUCUAGCUUGCCUGUAGCAUGCAUAAUAAAAACCUUGCACAAUGUGGAGAAAUUCUAAUUUUCAUAUACCUGCAUUAUGAACCCCUGCAGCUAUUACAAAAAAUACUAAAAUCCUUAAACUAUGAGGUUAAAAUACAAUUUAGAGAGUAUAUUUUCUUACUGCCUUUGAAGAUAGCAUCAGUUGUCUACACAGACCUAUAAAACGUUUCAAGGGUUGAAAGAUACAGCUUAUUGCACUUAUCUUUCUCUUCUUAAUAAAAGAUAAAACAACAACUCUGACUGAUAAACAAACAAACACAAACACUAACUGUUUGCCUAAGCUGACCUUGGGUUUAAGAAUCAUGGAUUGUUUUUUGUUGACUCUGGCAUUAGCUAAACUAAAUCCUAAAGUAUAUUCUUAGAUGGUGUGAAGUUGGUCUAAUUGUCUUCAAGCGAAGUGACACUGAUCUGCACCAGCUGUGGAUCAGAGCCCUUACAGGACUAACCACCUGCCUGUGUUUCAGAAUUAAGGGGAUAAGACUGAUUGUUUUGUAAAUGUUUAGUAGAGGAUUGGCUACUGAUUAGUUCUUUUUGGCCUUGUCUCUUUAACCUUGUACAGAUAUGUCAGUGGGAGAAGAAACAGGAAUGGAGAAGGUGGAACAGGAUGAUAAGGAAGCUGUGAUGAUUUCUAGUGCAAUAAAUUAAUAAUUUCAUAUAUAUUCAACAUGAAUUUUGUGAUCUAUAUAUGUUGUAUGGGUGUCUCUUUCAGCUUUUCCGAAAUACAGUCCCUCAAGCUUAUAGAUCAGCUGGAAAAAGAAGAGAAGGUACAAAUCGUUGUAAUGUAUCUAAGACAAGAGUGAGAGGGAGGGGGUAUUUUUUCCUAUAUUGGAAUCACUUCACAGAAUAUUUUUGAGAGGUUUCUUUAAUAUGAAUCACACCAUUCUAGUUCAAAGCAACAAAUUCAAACAAACUUGUAAAAUAUACAAACUAGUAAGUUCAGGAUACUAAUUUAGAUAUGGCUGUUUACAUUCUCACCCCAUUUUGCGAAGUGUGAAAUGUUAAAAGCAACUGUAGAGACCACAAUCAUUUUAAUCCUGGCUUUAAGUAAAAGAAAAGUGUAAAAAGGGAGUUAUUGCCUAACUUAAUGAAAGCUUUUGCAGUACUUGCAUUUUCUUUUGAACAGAAGUUUCAUACACUUAAAAAGAUUGUUCACUGGUGGAACACAUUAUUAUUAUUAUUAUUAUUUUUUUAAGUAAUAGAAGGGAACACAGAACCCCAGAAAUAUGCUUACAGUUAGUGUUUACAAAAUCUGCUAAUGAUCUCACUAAUGGAAGCUAGAUUAUGGAAUAUAUUUUGCAUCAGGUUUAUGCCCAGAGCAGCUGUUUUAGAAGGAGCUCCAGAUAGAUAUUAAUUUUUACUUUUGGAUCUGCAGUUCUUCAGUUAGAAGAACAUGUCUCAUGCUGGGGAACUAAACUUUCAGUGGGUGCAUUUACACAUACUGUGGUUUGUUUUCUUUUGCCUUUUUUUUUUUUUUCCUUCAUUCUGUGAACCCUCUUACACAUGCACAUUUCAAUUAUCAAAAAGUAAGUUCUGAUGAUUUCAAGUUUAAGUACAUUAAACAAAAGAAUCCAUGAUACCUAGUUUCCAUUGGUGUGUGAUCCUAAAAAAGUCAAGUGUAUUUGUAUGAUGAGGUACUCUUCCACCUUUAAACACUGUUUGUGACCAAGAACAAGUCAAGUUUUAUGUUGAUGGCAAAGAUAAAUAAACUCCCACUAAUGUGAAAGAGAUUGUAGAAAGUUUUUUACAGCAGGUUUGUUUAGAGACUGCAAAGCCUAGUGCUGGUGCUGUUCAUGACAAUGAAAAAUUCUCAAUUAAUUAUAGUUAAGAGAAGAUCAGGUACAGAACAGGUAACCUCUAUUAGAUUUUAUUGUUCACCUCUUGGACUGUUUAAGAUACACACUAACUUUCCAUUUUUCCCUGCCUUCAGUUUAAUGGGAACACGAAGAAAUCUUGAGGACCUUACUCUGGUACCAUAUAAUCGAAGACUAAACUUCAGAGCUGAAUUUAAGAAGAGAUUUCGACAUUUCAUAUUGCAGAGACUUAACUCAUUAGAAAGAUAUAUAUAUAUUUAUGACUAAUAUUAAUUGUAUUAGCUAAAAUAUUAAUUCAAAUUUAAAAACUUUAAUAUCGUACUGUUAGGUUGGAAGGGAAUCACAGUGUGAAACCUAAUGUAAAGAUAGGAACAACAGGUUUUCAAUCUUUCUGCCAUUCCAAGAGUCCUGAUCAUUUGAAUUUUGAAGUUGCUAUGUUACUGCCAAAAAAUGGCAUCUCUGAUACAGGUAAAUUAAUAAAAAAGCUAAUCUUAUUAAUUAAUUUUACACCAGUGACUAGCUAGCCAUCUCUUGGAAAAGUUCUAAGUUUUUGAAAAUUUAGACAAAAUUAAACAAGUAACCUCAAUAUUUAAAGUUUUUAAAUUCUGAAUCCCUUCCUUUGCCUAUCCGUUGAUUUUCGUCUAUUAAAUUAAAUAAAUGCUAGCCAUUAGAUUUUUUUUUUACAGUUACUCAUUAUACAUUCCUCAUAUACUUUUUACUAAUUUUAAAUUCACCAGGUUAUCAUCCUUCAGAUACUAGAACUUCAGAAUCAUACCAUAUUCAAAAGCAAGUAUUCGUUUUAGCCUUGUGUGUUUCUUUAUGUCUCAAAAUAUUGUGACAAGCCUUAGAGAAUAAAAUGGUUUUUGAAAAGGAAGUACAAAUGUGAAAACUAUGUAUACAGAAUGAGAUAAGUAUAAACCUACAGAAGACAAAGGGAAUGGAAUUAGAAGGAAUUCAGCUGGGAUGCAAAAACCUUUUACGUUGGUAAGUGGGAAGAAAAUAGCUUCUGGGUGGAUUUUUGAGGUACAUUUCCUGUGUUACUUUCUGAGAAUAUUUGGAGAUGGACUGUUGUAAGUAUGGCUAACAGAGUCCUAGGAAGGAAAUAUAUAUUGUAUUCAUCUUCACUUAUUUACUUUUGUUUUCUCUCUUCUUAUAUCAUGCUCACAUGGCAGUUGUCUUCCUAUAUUAAUUCAAAGUUUGAGGCAACCUUGGAGACAGUGUGCUUUGUCUCCCUCACUGUUCAGAGGCCACAGUCAGUUUGUGUGGAAAUCGAAGAAGGACCAAUAAAGAAACAGCUAAAAGAAGUGAUAUAAUAUUUAGUUUUUACCAGCUAUCUAGAGGAGAUAAUGGGAGGAUUCAUGUGAAGUUUUUUCUUAUUGAAGAAGAAUUGCAAAAUGCCACAAAACAUAAGUUUUUAAACUUUUGUUAACUCUGUACUUUCCUUGGACACUAGACCCAAACCAACUUGUUGGUACGGCCAAGUAUAUGUAUGUUCCUAACAAACAGCUUACACCAGAAAAUGAAAAGCUAGAUAACACACACUAAAAGGAUGAAGAAGCUUAAAGAAGAUUGGAAGUGAAAUGAAAAUCUGAAAAUUCCAACAGUAAAUAUGUACUGGGGAGUUAACACACUUUCAUAGUGUAUCUAUAUAAUCUUCAUCCCAACUUCAUUAGAUACCUACAGAUCUCCGUGUACAAUAAAGACUCAUAAACACAAACCUAUGUUUAUGCUUAGUGUUAAGCUUUGCUUUUUAAAAAUAAUCCCAGCCAUUCUCUGAGGGAUUCCUUUGCUACAGAAAAUCUACAAAUGCAUAUUUUUACAGGAUGACUCACUGAUUUGUCUUCCUAUAUUUAAUUUUAUUUCUCAUGUGGAAUCUGCAUAGCAAUUAGAUGCUGAGGUUUUUUGUCUGUUUUCUCUUUCAGGUUUUCCUUUUGAGGAUUCACUUCAGCCUUAGUUGGAUUGAAUGUAUUUCUUUGUGGAGCUCUUAAGCUGCAAAUAUCAAGGGAAGACUUAACACUAUCAUAGAGCAUCCUUUCUGCCUUAUUUCAAUAAGUCAAAUCCAAGCAUGUAUGGCAAAAUGAAUCUUGGCAUCAUCAGUGAUAUAACAGACUGGUUUAGACUUAUACAAAUUUUUAAAAACCCAAGACUUCAAAUAUUCAGAUAUACUCAUGCAUGUGCACAUGCACAUCCACAGUCAAAAAUCAGAGGUCAAAUCACUGAAAUCACUGCAUCUUGGUUUUAGUUAUUUCAGUGUGUAUUAAAAUGAAGAUGUGGUUAAAUGGUAACUCAUAUUAUUUCUAAAGGUAUUAACUUCAAAAACUUGUAAAGUUUUUCAAAUCUACCAAAUGUUUGCAGUUCUGAUUGAUUUCAGUCUGUAUACACCUUUAGAAAACCAUGCUAUGAGGUGUUGAUUCUUAGGCUUCUUUAAAAUAUUUAGUAGAAAAAAUUACAGUGGAAUCUUUUUACUCUUUAUGAGGUUGGGUUGACAAUGCAUUCCCUGAUGCUAGCAUGCCCUUUUUGGUGAAAAGAGGUGAUGCAGCAUGGGAAUUCGUAAUAAUAGUAUGUUAUAGCAAAUGGAAACAUGGCCUAAAGAAGAGAAUGACUAUCUGAGGCAACCAAACUGCUGUUCCCAGAUCUACUGCAACAGCACAUCCAAUUAAAUGUUUUGGAAGACUGCCAGUAUUUCAAGUUGCUGCAAUAUUUUUUUACUAGAAAUUGAAAUUUUUACAUCAAAUCUGAUUUUUAUAUGGAGGUAUAAAACAUAUCAAACUAUAUAUAAAUGACAAAAUCAAUCUCCAUUGCCUAUUUCUGAGGGAUUUUGGGGAUUAUGAGAGGUGUUUGUGGUUUUUUCUCACUGCAGUGCUGGAGUUUGAUGCAUAUAGGAAAAAGCAGAGUAAUAUACUCUUAAGGUAAGAAACAUGUAUGUUUGAAGUAAUCUUUUAUGUAAGAAAUUGUAUAGCAUAGGCAGAUAAAAUGAUAACUUCAUACACAAAGUCCUCAAGAAGAAACAGUCCUCAAGAAGAAAUCUCAGUAAAGUCAGCUCUCAGGUAAAUAUGUUUGGAGCUAUGAAGAAGUGAACAGAACGCACCAGAUGGAGAAGCAGCUGGUUUAUGUGUAAUAGGAGAAAGGUAUUUUGUUUUUCUCCUUGUUUUAAACUCUUUAUGUAUUUUUGUGUGUGUGUUUGUAACUAAAUAUUUAACAACAUGCGCUGAAUAAUAAAUGUUUCAGAAGACGCAUAUGUUAAUAAAAGACCCAUUGUUUUGUUGGUAGACAACAGGAAUCAGCUUCAAUUGUCUACACUACCCUGUGUGCUUCCUGUGGAUCUGUUCCUAACACAUACCUUUAUUAUUUCUGAUACUUCACAGAAUUGAAAGAGCACUAGAAGUAGAAAAUAUUUACAAAACCAGACGUAUAUGGCAAACAUUUUUGUGUCAGAGGAUAUAAUCAGAUGGAAAGAUACAUUUCAUCCCUGAUUAGGGACUCUAUUAUAUUCUAGACUCUGUCCCUUUAUCAUGUCUUUGAAAAAACAGAGAACAUCUUCAUUAUGAUAUACUAAGGGUCGCAACUCAUAUGGCUCACAGCAAUGUACAGAACCACACAAACCUCUAUAUAUGAAUAUACUAAAACAGAUAGAAUGUGCCUCAUAGCCAUUUUCCAGAAAUGUCAGGAAAAUGUGAAAACCUGUGCUGAGUCUAUGCAAUAUCUGCAGCAGAAAGAAAACAGAGGGAGAAUGGUUAAUAUUAAGGUGGUAAAGACUGAAGAUGUGCUUUAUUCUUUACAUAAAUGUAAUUGUCAAGAUCUAAUUCUACGAGGCUGGUGAGAAAAAAUAUUUCAGAAUUGCUGCAACAAAUGCCCUGAAGCUUGCAGCUUCAUGUGCCUGACAUACAUCAUUAGUGUGAGUGGGUAACACUAUGUAACAAUUAAGGAAAUGUGCCAGAGAAGUAGGCAUCUGGGUCUGAUAUUACCAGGGAAAGAAGACUGCCUGCUUAGCUGUAUUAUACUUAAUGUUGCAAGACAAAGUUUUUCAUGAUCUUGCAGAUUGAUGACCAUCUGGAAAAGGCCUGUCAAUGAAGAAGUAAUUAAUAAAGUUGAGAAAUAUUUCCACUUUAUGGAUGCCAUUGCCAUUUGCAAUGAAAUCUAGUUCCAUUACAGGUGGGAGCAAAUACAAAUGUACACUGUAAAGUGAAGUUGGAAAGGUGGAACCAAGCACAUUUGCUGGGGAAUGGAGAACUGAAACCCUGGCAACUAAGCUAUCAGCUUCAGCAGACAUGGGCUGAACAGGCAGGCAUCGUUUGUCAAGAAAUUAUAAACAGCAUUGAGUUUAUAAGGUGACUGAGCCCCAUGCUUGCAAGCAAACAGCUGCUUUAUUUUAGGAAAUUAAUGUUUUCUGUAUCUGCCUGCCCCUCAGUGACACAUUCCCACUUCCUAAGCAGAGGGAGCAGACAUGAACACUGAGCCAGCUCUAAAGACAGGGUAUGUGGUUUUCUGUGAAGAGAGAGGGCUGGCAGCAACAAAAUGCCUGUGGUCUGUCUACAGCAGCAUCCUGGAAAGCCUGUCUGGCUGCUGAUGUUGCGCCUGAGGCAGGAGAUGGUGUGGCAUGGUGCCCUGCUUUGGGCAGUUAGGAGACAAUGACAGAAACUAUUGCUUCUAGAAGGAAUCAUCAACAUCAGCUGCUGCAGUGAGUAGCUGGGCUCUCCCACUAUGUUUUACCAGUCUCUUUUCACCUGCUGCUUCUCCUUAUCUUCCAACACAGAAAUGACUCAAUGGUAGCCAAGCCCUUGUCACUAUGGCAAUACAAUUUAGCUUUGUCCCUCCUAUUCAGGUCCUAUUUUCACCAUUUCUGAGUUAAUAAGUGCCUUCCAGUGAUCAACGCUUAUGUGUUAUACUGCAAUACCUCCUUCAGUUACACUUCCAACCAAGAUUUGAGAUGGAAGAAAGGGCUGAGCUGUGAUGUUUUAACCCAUUUGAUUUUGCAGCCCAUAACAGGGGGCUAAUAACAACUAAAGGGGGUACAAGAAGACAGUUAGGGACCUGAAAUAUCUUUUAAACAAUGACUGAACAUAGACACAUGCUGUCAACACAGACGCUGUUACCUACUAAGAUAUUUCAGUCAUACAACACAAGCUGGACAAAAUAAAAUGCAAAUCAAUUACACAUUGGGCAACCCUAGUAUACCUGAUGUAAACAUUGCCUUUUUUAAUACACUAAAAUAUUUACUAACUAAGUUUUGCUAUUUUAAAGUUGAUAUAUUUUGAAUUUUCGUUUGAGUAGAUUUUAUGUUAAAUAAAGUAACCCUUUGCUUGUGCCAUAGAAAUUUCUGGAAUUUUCAAUUUAAAAUGUUGACAUUCCACAUUUGCUCUGGGCAAGUGUUAUUUUUUUUAAAAUUAGGAAUAGCUAAUAAACUAGAAAAUCAAUUUCCUCCCCUAACAGAGGACACUUUGAGGAACACUGAAAGAAUAAAGAGAAAGAGGGCAUCUGUUGGCUUUUUAAAACGUCUUCCUGCUUGAGUUAGAAUGCUCUCACAACUGGCACAGAAGUCAUGGAUACCAUUGAUUUUCAUGCUUCUUUCAGCUUUUAA